UAUUAUUAUGAUUAUAAUUUUGUCAAUGCUGGAAUUCCUUAUAUUUCACAUCUUUUCUGGAAAUACCAUUCUUAGAAAGACAUGAAACAUUAUGGUCAUUUUUUAUUUUCCCACAAAUUUUCUCCAGAGCUUUGGAGGUCGGUGCAUCCAUUUUAAAAUGACCAUUGGUUACACUUCUAAAAGCUUCAAUAUUAAAAGGCAUGAUAUAAGAAUAUAUAAAAAUAUAAAAGGCAUGGUAUGUCAGAUACUUAAUAAGAAGGCUACAUACAAAGAAAAGGCUGAUAAUGCUCUUAGCUCAUGCAUCUAGCUCCUCCCUCCCCCCAUCCACAAAUGAAUAUAAUUUUGCUUUUAUCACACCGCUGCCCCCUCACUGCAAAUGGUCGAAGCAACACAGCACACACCAUAGUAUAGCAUAGCAUAUAUCAAGCAGUAGAUGAACUUGCAAUAAGGAAAUGGUAGCAUUCAGACUGACCCCUUCAAGAUUCGGUAAAGAGCUUUAAGGAGGAACCCCCUCGUCACUCAACAUUGCGAGCCAACACCAGGCGGCUAAAAGGUUUAGCUAAACCACGUCUUCGCCAAAGUGCCGCAUCCCAUUAGGAUCUCGUCUAGGCUGCCAGGUGUGCCUAACUAAGGCCCUGAAUGGCAUCACGGUCGUUGUACCUGAAGGGACUACAGACGUACGGAAUGUAUAGGUCUCGAGGGCUAGUGUUGUCAUAAAUUGAAGCGCAAAUUUUAAUAGUAUUUUCAAUUUUUUUCCCCCCCGAGGAUGUUUUUUUUGUAAUUAGCGUUAUUCCUAUUCUGUUUGUAGUUGUCCAGAUUACUUUUUAUUGUUAGUGAUUCAUGUCUGUUUUUUAUGUGUCAAGUGUAGAGUUUAUAUGAUAUAGUACAAGAGAUUUCAGUCAUAAAGACACUAUUUUUGCUAAGCUGUGACUGAAACAUUUUACACGUGGGUGCUCAGUUAUAUUUGUUAAUUAUUUGAUAACAUUCAGAUGAUCAAAAGAAACCCCCUUACAAAUACUGUUAUUCCUAAUAGAUAUGCAUUAACUGUUUCUGUAGUUAUCGUAUUUUUAAAAAAGUUAUGAAUUUCAAUAAAGGUCCACAAAAUAAAAGAAUGAUUUUAUACCAGGUUUUACAAUAGUAUGAUGAAGACGGCUGUAAAAGGAAUUGUCCUUAUAAAUAUAUGUCUGCCCUUUUUUCAUGUGCAAUUGCCCUGUUUUUUUUAUUCUUUUUUAAUGCUUCAUAUGAAAUUCAUCCUUUGAUACUUUUGUUAUGGCUUUCUGUAUUGCUUUCAUGGGUAAUUGCUCUUUUGAAAUUUUAGUUUUUCUCUUUGAACUUCUUUUUUGUUUCAUAUUUUUGCACAAAAACAUUUCUGAAAGUACUCUAUACAAACAUUGUUUAAUAGACAUUUCCCAUUUGUUAUUAGAUGUCUCCUCUUUCCAUUAUUUAAUUUUUUUUUCUCCAGGAAAUGAAUCUUGAUUGUAUAAUUUUUUUUUUUUUUGUUAAAGGGUUGUUCAAAUUUCACAUAACCAUGACAAAUAAUGUGAACUGGUGUGAAAACUCUUUUAAGAAAAAAAAAAAAAAAAAAAAAAAACAGAAAGGAUAAAAGAGAAUGAUAAACUUUACAAAGGAAGUGAUGUAUUAAUGUAUUUUAAUUAAAUCUUUAAUAGAAUUCCGUGUGUUGAA